GACCCUUUAGUCGUCAUUAUGAUCCAACCGACGCUAUCCUAGAUGGGACGGCCGUACCGGUGCCCGCUGGCGCGGCCGCCAUAACUGGCCGCUGCUGGCUUCAGGGAGCCACUCAGCCACCUCGCUUCCUUUCCGCUCCCCACCAGCGAAGACACAGCCGCCGCCGCCGCCAUUCCAUAGCGACGGCGCCGCGUGCCUUUCCCAUUCUACCGUCCGAAACAAAAUCAACGGCUCAUAUUACCUGGUCCCAUCUUUCACUUGGCGGGUUACGGCCCAGAGGAGGCCCAAAUGGCCGAACAAAAAAAAGAGAAAAGGAACGAGCCAGACACCGGCGGGGCUGCAUGCGAGCUCACCCCGUUGCCCCGUGCCUGAGCGACUGAACGGGGCAACGAGGUGAGCAUGCACGAACGCACGGGCGGCGGCAGUGCGGCACGGAGGCUGGGAGCUGUCGCCGGCCUACGGCGCUGCGCUGUGCUACAUGCGGCAUGCCUGCACAGCAGAGGGCAGAGGCGCGUGGAUGGACGUAGGUCUUAUGCACUUGUGUUUGCAAUAUGCAAUAAGGGGAAAAAACAUAUGUAAUACCUUCUCGCCAAGAGCAUCCUGAAUCACGAGGGUAUCACUGGACAUCCUAGAAACUGCUUGGCCUGUUGUCAAUUCUGUGUCGAAGAAUGCAAUAUCCUGUCUCAAGACAGCAUUGAGGUAUAAAGAACGGAUUCGAGCUGACUGCCUUUCUCCUGCCAUCGUCCAACAUGACACCUCUGGGACAAGUGAAAAGCCGAGCCUUUUAAUUCAACUGUACAAUCAGAAGUAGAUUCUAGCAAAGAAAUAGGUGGAGGAAGAAUAUGCAGCAAAUUCCUUUUGAGACUGCUAAUGUCUUAAAGCAUGAUGAUAUAUAUGAUUCUUCCCAACUAAGCAUGAUGGUAUUUGAUAGAUGUCGUAAAGCUUCGAUUGGAUUGAAUCCGAAAAGAGUGCAAAAUUCAACUUACGAAGAAAUGAGACAACAGCUGCUCCGAUGCCCAAAUAUACGAAAUCCAGAACAACCUGAGUGAAGAAGAACUACUGUUAAGAUUGGCUGUUCGUCAAUGGUGCUUCAAUCAAGAUAAAUAAAAUCGGGCUGUUGGUGAAGCGACUACGGGCAGACGACAAUUCCUCGGUGCAUGCACUCACCUUUCUCACGCUGCGGACGAUGUCCUGUGAGGUGCUGUCGCCGAAGGAGUCGAUGACGUUGCCGAAGAGGAUGGUCAUGAGGGGCUCGGCCACGCCGUUGGCCAGGGCCCCUACCGUGCCCACCGCCAUCAGCAGCAAGUCCAGGCGGUCCGCGUACCUGAACAGGCCGAGCAGCGACACCUUCUUGGCCGGCGCUGCACCCUGCUUCUUGUCGUCGUCGUCAUUUUCACCGGCUCUGCUAGCCGUCGCAUCCAUGGUGGUGGUGGUGGCCGUGAAGCUCAGCUUGCUGGUGCGUGCUGGAAUCUAUCUAUGUGCAGUGUUGUGGAGUACACAAAUAAAUGAACAGGUUCAGUGCUCCCCUAACCACGGCCAGUGGGGGGCGCUAUAUAUGCGCAUUAGCUUUGGUGCGAGGGUGCAGGCGCUCGAAUUGUCGCCGGUGAUUAGAGCCUGGAAGCGACCCGGAACGAUCAUUGGUGACGGAUAGAUAGCGACGGUGGAAAAACAGAGACCGGUCAUACACUUAGAGGUCAGGCAACUAAACUUGCAACGCAAGGUGCGGUCUAUUAUGCGAAGCAUCAGUAUAAAUUCCACAACACAGGCGCAAACUGCAAAUUAGAAUCGUGCUUCUUUCUUCUA